UGUGGGACGGCCGUGGAGCCGGGCGGAGCUGACCUGCGGCUCCCGUGACCGGCUCUCCGGCCAGAGACACAGCCGGGGGAACCGGCCUGCUAGGCAGGCCUCUCCCCAAUACGGUCGCCGUGCCCAGGAGAGGAAAGCGACUCAAGUUCCGGGCCCACGAAGCCUGCUCCGGCCGAGUGACCAUGGCGGAUUACGCCAAGUCGGAUUCGGCUGUCAUGAGAUCUGGACGAGUCAAGAAAACCGUAACCAACGCUGUUCAGCAGGAAGUGAAAUCUCUUUGUGGUUUGGAAGCCUCUCAGGUUCCUGCAGAGGAAGCUGUUUCUGGGGCUGGUGAGCCCUGUGACAUCAUCGACAGCAGUGAUGAGAUGGAUGCCCAGGAGGAAAGCAUCCACGAGAGAACUGUCUCCAGAGAAAAGAAAAGCAAGAGGCACAAAGAAGUGGACGGGGCUGUUGGAGAAGAGUAUCCCAUGGAUAUUUGGCUGUUGCUGGUCUCUUAUAUCCAUCCUGAGGACAUUGUGAAUUUUUCCCUGAUUUGUAAGAAUGCCUGGACUGUCACUUGCACUGCUACUUUUUGGACCAGGUUGUACCGAAGGCACUACCCGCUGGACGCUUCCCUGUCUUUGCGUCUGCGACCAGAGUCAAUGGAGAAGCUGCACUGUCUCCGGGCUUGUGUGAUCCGAUCUCUGUACCAUAUGUAUGAGCCAUUUGCUGCUCGAAUCUCCAAGAAUCCAGCCAUUCCAGAAAGCACCCCCAGCGCAUUAAAGAAUUCCAAAUGCUUACUUUUCUGAUGCAGAAAGAUUGUUGGGAACAGACAGGAACCAAUGUGGGAAUUCAACUUCAAGUUCAAAAAACAGUCCCCUAGGUUAAAGAGCAAGUGUACAGGAGGAUUGCAGCCUCCGUUCAGUAACAAGAUGUUCAUACCAAUCCAGACCAGCACUGCUGCCUACUGCAGGUCACCACCCUCAGUUUCAUCUGUAUUCCGAUUGUCAUGGGCAUGAUAUUUACUCUGUUGACUAUCAGUGUGAGCACGGACAUGUGGCAUCAUCGAGUGAGACUGGUGUUCCAAGAUUCCCCUGUCCAUGGUGAUCGGAAACUGCGCAGUGAGCAGGGUAUGCAAGUCAUCCUGGACCCAGUGCACAGCGUUCGGCUCUUUGACUGGUGGCAUCCUCAGUACCCAUUCUCCCUGAGAGCGUAGUUACUGCUGCUCAUCCCCUGGGGCAGCCCCGAGUCUAGUCCAUUAGCAAUCAGAUUCCAAUUUGGACAAGGCGGCUGGAUUGUAUGUCUGGUUAGUAAUGUACAUGCUCUUCAGGUUCCAGGGCUCCUGUUAGGGAAGGGAGAAAUGUUGAAUCCAGAGGAAGAACACCUACUAUGAUUUAUAAACGUAUUUUAAUGUAAAAAUUUGCAUUUAAAAAGAGUGGCCCUGUUUUCUGUGUUAAAGCCCCAUUUGGUGCUAUUGAGUUUGUUUUUUAUUCUUUCAUUGCAGUGAAAAUUGUUGAUCUUGCUCUAGGGAAAAAUUAAACUCUUUGAAUCUCCAAACAAGGAAAUUUCAGUUCCCUUAUGGAUCAGAGGAAACUUAGAAGCCUGAAAUUGUUGCUUCCAGUUUAGCUGCCCCUCAAAUUCAAGUGAAUAUUUUCCCUUCUCCCUUUACCCUUCUCCAGAAAUAAAGCAGGUGACAGGGUUUUCAGACUCUU